GAUGAACGCUGGCGGCGUGCUUAACACAUGCAAGUCGAACGAAGCACUCUAUUUGAUUUUCUUCGGAAAUGAAGAUUUUGUGACUGAGUGGCGGACGGGUGAGUAACGCGUGGGUAACCUGCCUCAUACAGGGGGAUAACAGUUGGAAACGACUGCUAAUACCGCAUAAGCGCACAGGAUCGCAUGAUCUGGUGUGAAAAACUCCGGUGGUAUGAGAUGGACCCGCGUCUGAUUAGCCAGUUGGCAGGGUAACGGCCUACCAAAGCGACGAUCAGUAGCCGACCUGAGAGGGUGACCGGCCACAUUGGGACUGAGACACGGCCCAAACUCCUACGGGAGGCAGCAGUGGGGAAUAUUGCACAAUGGGGGAAACCCUGAUGCAGCGACGCCGCGUGAGCGAAGAAGUAUUUCGGUAUGUAAAGCUCUAUCAGCAGGGAAGAAGAAUGACGGUACCUGACUAAGAAGCACCGG
rnacentral:rRNA from 1 species